rnacentral:lncRNA from 1 species
UGCAAGAAAUUAAGGUCGCUGCCAGAACAAAUGCAUACCCUUCUACUGUCUCUUCAGAAAUUGGAAGUGUUCGACUGUCCAGAAGUGGAAUCAUAUUACGAUGGAAGCAGAGGCAACACCACAAUACUGUUUCCUAAUCUUCGUGAGCUUGUACUGAGCAGAUGUCCCAAGCUAACUGAGAUAGUACCGUUGGAGAAGCUGCCAAGGCUUGAAAGCGUACAAUUAAGGGACCUGGAAUCCUUCAAUGGUUCACUUGCACAUGUGGAAUCUGAAUGCCCUAAAUUCCUCUCCCUCGUUCGCUUGAAAAUAGAGAUCUGCCCAAAUUUUGUAUGUUUUCCAGAUGGAGGGAUGGAUGCACCCAAAUUGGAGGAGCUGCGUAUCUCUCAAUGCAAGAAAUUGAGGUCACUGCCAGAACAAAUGCAUAUCCUUCUACCGUCUCUUCAACGUUUGAAAGUAUUCGGCUGUCCAGAAGUGGAAUCAUUUCCUCAAGGAGGGUUGCCCUCAAAUUUACAAGGCCUUUCUUUUGAGUGUUAUAGAAAACUCGCUGCAAACCGCUCACUGUGGGGUUUAACAAGACUCAACUCUCUUAGAAAUUUGGAAAUCAGUUUCACUGAAGAAGGUGGAGAAGAAACGGGAUGUUCGUUUCCGGAAGAGGGUUUGCUGCCCGCCACUCUCACUAGUCUCUCCAUCUGCUUUCAUCCAAAUCUUAGAACCAUCCAAGGCAAGGUUUUGAGACAACUCACCUCUCUUGAACACCUCACAAUACAAGGAUGCCCUGAGCUCCAGGGCUUUCCAGAACAAAUGCAUACCCUUAUACCGUCUCUUCAAAAAUUGAGAGUGUUCGGCUGUCCAGAAGUGGAAUCAUUUCCUCAAGGAGGGUUGCCCUCAAAUUUGCAAGACCUUUCUUUUGAGUGUUGUAGAAAACUCGCUGCAAACCGCUCACUGUGGGGUUUAACAAGACUCAACUCUCUUAGAAGGUUGGACAUCAGUUUCACUGAAGAAGGUGGAGAAGAAAUGGGAUGUUCGUUUCCGGAAGAGGGUUUGCUGCCCGCCACUCUCACUAGUCUCUCCAUCCGCUUUCUUCCAAAUCUUACAACCAUCCAAGGCAAGGUUUUGAGACAACUCACCUCUCUUGAAGACCUCACAAUACGACGGUGCCCGGAGCUCCAGGGCUUUCCAGAAGAAGCGCCCAAAUCUCUGAAAAGCUUGACUAUUUGGGAGUGCCCUAAUAUCGGGUGCUUGCCGGGAGAAUGGCUUCCCACAUCUCUUUCACUACUGCAAAUCUGGACGUGUCCGCUGUUAGAAGAACGAUUCCGAAGAGAGACAGGGGAAGAUUGGCCAAAGAUUUCUCACAUCCUCCAUAAAUAUAUACAUUAGAUGUCCUUGAGAUUAGUACUUGCCGAACUCUCUCUCUCUCAAUCAGGUGUGUGUGUCUAUAUGUAUAUAUACAAAUCAUUUGAAUGACCCAAAACACUUUAGUUGGGUACUUUUCUGAUAGUUAUUUUUUUACUGCUAUGUUUUUUAGUAUGUUUGGUUAGUACUCCAGCUCCAGGCUCAUUAUCAUUGUAUGUAAGCUGUCUCGAUCCAUCCGAUUUGUGUGGUCAGUUUAAUCAAGAGAGCUUUAAUGAAAAGAAUUUAAACUAAGUUUAAAUUAAUCAAAAAUCAUCUUAAAUUAUUUUUUAACUAAAAAGCUUCAUAUUUAAUAGGAAGGACAAACUAAUUUAUAUUAGGUCCUACAAACAGUAAAAGACAUUGGCUGAAUUAAAAAGCCGAACAUGCAAUUUUUUUUUUUUUACAGCCAUGCCCAUGACCGAAACUUCAUUCUGCCAGCCCAAUUCCGUUAGAAAUAAAUUUUUCUUUAUUUACAGGUAUGUCACUACCUCAUUAAAACCUAAAUAUCAUAUGAAAAUGAAAAUUUUAAAAGUUUCCAUGAAUUCUCCCAUCAGGACGUCCCUGAUCGUAGCAUUGAGUGAUUUGACUCUUAAAUAAAUACAAAAAUAAGCUAUUAUCAUCAAUGUUACCUAUUUUUAAUGUUUUAAAUAGGAAUGCAUCUUAAUAAUCAAGCAGCGUGAAUAAAAUCAAAUUAAUCUUAUAGUUCGACUACAAAACAAAACCAGCACAUGAAAUUAAAAUUACAUAGUAGCAAUAUCCCAUACAAGUGGCCUUGUUAUUUUUUUAUUUUUUUUUUAUACAAAUCAAUUUGGAAAUCUUAUUAUUUUCAUUCUCAUCCUACAAUGUUGCACGAUGAUUUGAACUGUUUAUCUUUAGGCCAUCAUUUAAAAACCAUCUCUACAAAAAGCUAAAUGCAUUCAAAAGUUUUUGCUCAUGUAACGAUUAUUCAAUAAUUCUUUUGAACACUGAAAUUAUGACAAUAUUAUUCUAAAAUGGUUUGACGAUAUCUUGUUUGGUUCUUUUGUUGCAAAUAAUACUAGAUAGGGAAGUUUUUUUUGGUAAAAGAAAUAAAGGAAAUAAAAUAGCUGGCAUGACAUCAUACUCACCAAUCACGAUGUAUACGUUCCAUACAUGUGGGGGUCUUGGCCUCUCAUUUUUUCUCUCCCUCACUUACUUACAAAUACAUGAAUGCCCAAAUUUUGUAUGUUUUCCAGAUGGAGGGAUGGAUGCGCCCAAAUUGGAGGAGCUGCUUAUCUCUCGAUGGAAGAAAUUGAGGUCGUUGCCAGAACAAAUGCAUACCCUUCUACUGUCGCUGUCAAUCGUCUCUCCAUCUACAAUCUUCCGAAUCUUACAACCAUCCAAGGCAAGGUGUUGAGACAACUCACCUCUCUUGAAAACCUCAUAAUAGACGGAUGCCCUGAGCUCCAGUGCUUUCUUGAAGAAGCCCCCAAGUCUCUAAAAGGCUUGACUAUUACGAGAUGCCCUAAACUCGGGUGCUUGCCAGGAGAAUGGCUUCCCACGUCUCUUUCUUAUCUGCAAAUCCAUUUGUGUCCUCUGCUAGAACAACGAUUCCAGAGAGACGGGGGAAGAUUGGCCCAAGGUUGCUCACAUCCCCGCGUGUAUAUAUUAUAGAUCUUCUUGAACUUGGCUCUCUCUGUCUCUCUCAGGUGUAUGUGUAUAUCCCUUGUUGUUUUGCCACAAACUCUUCCUAAUGCAACAACAUAGGGGGGAGCUGGUAUAGCCCUUGUUGUUUUGCGAUGGAGUAGUACUAUGUACAUGAUUACUAGGCUAAAACAAGUGCAAAUUUGAUUUCGUUAAUUUGUCUAUUCGACUAUAUAACCUUGCUCAUUGUCAUUGUAUGUAUCAUGCUGUCUCGAUCCAGCCGAUUUCAUUUCAUGUUUGAUAGGGCCAUCAAGUUCAGCUCCUCCUAAUACCAUUAAGUUCGUCACUGUUUGGUUAAUGUCUGGCACCGUGAAGAACAAAAGUGAAGAGUUUCCAUUCUGCAUUACAUGAUCCCUGUCAAACUUUAAUCAUUAGCAGAUCCCAAUUUCAUUCAAAGCACAAAGCUUAAAUCCAACUACUACUAAAAUAAAACCACAUUACCAAAAACUAGAAGGAAUCAUAAAACCGAAAAAACCCAAGAAAUUCGAAGUUUUACGCUUUCAAUUUACGAAAAACAAGAACAAGCAGUAUAAUUUGUCGUGUCUAAAAAUCUGGUUUAGACAAAUCAUCAAACACCUGGUGUACAUCGAGCACCCAGUCUCAGAGAAAGGAGAAAGACAUAGUUUACUUGGGGGAUUGCAUGAGGGAAAGCUUGAGUGAGCCGAACCGUAGAUUCGCCCAUCGAAUAGUGCAGACAUUAACGGUGAAGUCCAACCCUUCCGCAUUGAACCGGGAGGCUUUUGGCACGUCCUUGUGCAGCUGCAGUAGCCACCUAAACGACUCCGCUGCCAUUUUUUCCCUUGCUUUCUAGGCUGUGUACUUCUGAGUAUGUAAAUGGGUCACCCGAACCUAAUCCGAACCUAAUCCGUUAAUCUAACGGGUCAUCCAAAUCCGACCCGUUAAGCUAACGGGUCACCUGUUUCAUCCGUUAACAGUUAUUAUUAUUAUUUUUUUUCAUAGAGUUUAUAUUUUGUUGUUAAGAUUUUAUUGAAAUUACUAAAACAUCCUCAAUUAACAGGUGCUAACGGGUUGACCCAAAGUGACCCGUUAUUUAACAGGUUCACCCGUUAACGACCCGACCCGUUAAGCAUCCACCCAAAUACUAAUAUUAACGGGUCAGAUCGGGUUAACGGGUCGGAUCCAAAAUGUCAGGUCUACUUCUGACUGAAGGAAACUGACUCACUGGUUGUCGUUUCAACCGUGAGUCGUGACUGAUAUUAGACGACAUGUCGUUUUGAGGGUCUCAAAGUUAAAUUGGGGGAUUAUCUUAUGAUGCAUGGACCCGGAUAUAUAUACUCAGCUUAUAUCGGUCCCACCUCUAAACUUUGGUGAUAAUUAUUGUUAUACAGAAAAAUUUCUUAUUUGGACGUAAAUAUUAAAGGGAGUUUUAACGAAAAGCUCAUGAUACUGUUCAUUUUAACGAAAAACCACAUUUUUACACUAAAAAGUCAAACCUGCUACUAUUCACUUUACCCUUUAUUUUGUCCUUAUCGUUAAAACUCAAAUUUUUCAAGUCAUUUUUGUUAGUUUUCCUAAUAUUAAAAUUUCAUUAGAGGUUGUCAUUCAAUUGUUACAUUUUAGGAUGAAAGUUGCGCUUUAGCUUUACUUGACUCCUGUUUUCAUAAUUUUUUUUCUUUUUCAAUUUUUGACCUAAUCUUAGACAUGAUUGCUUCUUUUAGAGUAUCAAGAGAUUCUACAAGCUUAAGCUUUAUGAUUGAACUCUCACAGUGUUGGUGAUGUCCAACCUUCUAAGAGAGUUGAGUCUUGUUAAACCCCACAGUGGGCGGUUUGCAAUGAGUUUUCUACAACACUCAAGACAUUGGACAGCCGAAUACUCCUAAUUCCCUCGUUCACUUGGGAAUAGACAACUGCCCAAAUUUUUUAUGUUUUCCAGAUGGAGGGAUGGAUGCGCCCAAAUUGGAGGAGCUGCUUAUCUCUUGAUGCAAGAAGUUGAGGUCGUUGCCAGAACAAAUGCAUACCCUUCUACAGUCUCUUCAGAAAUUAGGAGUAUUCGGCUGUCCGGAAGUGGAAUCAUUUCCUCAUGGAGGGUUGCCGUCAAAUUUACGAGUCCUUCGUCUUGAGUGUUGUAGAAAACUCGCUGCAAACCGCCCACUGUGGGGUUUAACAAGACUCAACUCUCUUAGAAGGUUGGACAUCAGAUUCAGUGAAGAAGAUGGAGAAGAAAUGGGAUGUUCGUUUCUGGAAGAAGGUUUGUUGCCCGCCACUCUCACUAGUCUCUCCAUCAGCUUUCAUCCAAAUCUUACAACCAUCCAAGGCAAGGUUUUGAGACAACUCACCUCUCUUGAACACCUCACAAUAAAAGGAUGCCCGGAGCUCCAAGGCUUUCCAGAAGAAGCACCCAAAUCUCUGAAAAGCUUGACUAUUUCGGAUUGCCCUAAUAUCGGGUGCUUGCCAGGAGAAUGGCUUCCCACAUCUCUUUCUCGACUGGAA